AGAUGAGAGGGGACAUCAUUGGGUGGAGGGACUGGCGGCUAACUCAACAAAACAUAAAGACAACAUACAACAACACCAUCACAGGGGACAGAAGGACAUCACCGCAACAUCUACACAGGCUAGAUCUAAAUUGACUUCUAAAACACUGGAUUAUUUUGCUUUGGACCAUUUUCUUUUUCGAUCAAACAGGAUUUUAUCAAGGAAACAGUUUUGGCCUAACCAGCAGGAUCAGCUGACACUGGAGGAUUCCUCCCUGGCCACGGCCAUGUGGAGGGGACACUGUCUGUCUGAUGGUGUUAUUCAGAUCCUCUACUGGGUGUGUGUGCACCUGGAGGAUCCCUCUCCCUCCCAGAGGGGAGAUGAGCUCAGCCAGGGGAGAAGAUGCAAGCCCUGUGUCUAUGUGCCAUGCAAUAUCAUGAGAGGAGAUAGUAUUAGUUGACUUAUUUGCUCUGACAGAGAGAUUACAAACGUUAUGACCAAAAUCAUGUGUCACAUCAAGCAAUAUCGAUAGAUGAAGGGUGUGCCUCACAUCUCAGUGAAUGUGAAGUGAAUGAGGAGCCAGGCAAGGUGUCUCAUGGCCAGUGUAUGUGCAUUUGGAGGAGGGUGCAAGGACAACAAUGGAGGUGCUGGGCUGGGAAGAACUGAAGGCAUAAUUCAUAAUAAUGAACAUGAUGCGGGGAUGUGAUAUGAAGGAUAUAGUAUGUCACAGAGAAAGUGGAUAUGGUAAUAGGAGAGGAGAGGUUGCAAGGAAGGUGGGGAAAGGUUAAAGUGGUAUCUGAACUUGUAUAAUAGUGUAUUUAUACUGUAAUGUGAAGUGUUUGGUCCUGCUGGUAAUGUUCACAUUGCAAUGCCAAUGAACCUUGCUUAUGUUUAGUAAGGCAGAGGUCAUUUGUGCAAUAAUAUGCUAGAAAUAUGUGAAAACAAGAGGGAAACAAGAGGAUAAUUAGGCUGAAAAGAGCACCAAUAUUUUCACCCAUUACGAGCAUCAUUUUUUAGUGCUGCUUUAAUGUGCACAAUGAACAAUGGGACAGCCACUUCUGAGUGGAUGAGAAGGGCUUUUUUGAGGAAAAACGUAGAGCAGUGGAACCCUGAGGCUGAGAGAGAGAGGCAGAGAGAGGUAGAGAGUAGCGAAGAGUGGGACCAUUUGUGGUGCUUUGCCAUUGUUUAACACACGAAAGGACACACUCAGAGUGAAGAACCAUACUGUAUACUGUACAGUCCCUCACAGAACCCACAUUCAAGAUUCAAAGUACUUUGCACUCAUUGUGCAGCUGGUUUCACUUUUAUGUCCUCCUUGGGAUAAUGCAACAGAGACAGUAAUGGCACAUUCUCCCCAGCCACACCCAAAACAAUUGAAGGCUUCAACAGACAAAAGAUGACUUGCUCUUCCAUCUCAUCUCAUCCACUUCUAUUCACAGGGAACAAGGGUGCAGUAGGAUAGGACCUCCAAAUCCUUAACUAUCUCAUUUAUGUUUUCUUAGGUUCAACGUGUUGGCACCAACAGUGUUCAUCUAGUCAUGGACCUCGUCAUGAGAGCUCUUAGGCCACAAUAUGCAACAACAAAGUAAUAUAUCCACUGGCCUAUAACAAGAUUCCCUAGUGAUAGCUGUUUCUCCUGGUUUGGCCUCUUUUCAAGAAGAUAAAAUAGCACCUAUUGGUACAGUCUGUUUCUCUCAGAUGAACCGAGUACAGAUGACGCUCUGGUCCCGCCAUGUUUAAAAAACAUAUGCAGCCCAUAGCAACAGCUAUACUGUUAUGUAAGACUUUUAUUUUAUUCUUGACAUUUUAUUAUUAUUCUGGGCAUGGUAAAUACUUAUAAAUGAAAGCCAGCUUAAGGCAUGAGUGGUAUCUCCUUCAAAAGUUAUUUUUUUCUCAGGACUUGAAAAGUUGAUGGUGCCAAGUUCCAACUGAGAUUUCUACAGUCAUUUUCAAACACACAUCAAAUUAGUACAUGAAUACAUGAGACUUUUCCACUUGGAGACUAUCAGCUGGACCAUACUGUAUAUCUAUGACCUCUGUUGACUUAACUAUUGACCUAAGACCUUUGACCCAGGGAAGUUCCCUGUGAUGUUGAGAGUAUUUCAAGAAUUCUAAUACAGUCUAUUGCUGUGCAUGGAAAUAUCUGUCAUCAAAAUAAGUUUAGUCAAUGAAACAUGAUGUAAUGGGGAGGUCACUUUGACACAUCAGAUCACUGCAUUUUAGAAGUCUAUAUCUUGGCUUUGGUGUCUAUAACAGGGCCAACCCAUGAGCUGUGCCAUCAGAGACUAGACCUACUAGUAUCCCUGGGCCCUACUAUAUCAGUACAGCACUAAAACAACCAUGUUAAUGACUUGGAGGAAGAGCUUUGAAUGGGAGUGUGAUGCCAGUUUGGUAAAAUCCAUAAUGAUUUCUGAGGACAAAUUUACAUGGGGAUGGAUGGAAGCUCUGGGUCCAGCAUUUCAGCAAGGGUCAAUGACACAGUGAACUGAUUCAAAUUCAGUAUUCAAGAACAACUGUAUGAUAAUAGAGCAUUCACAAAUAGGUCUCAAGACAAGGAUUUACUUCAAAAAAAUGAAAAGUAGGAAAUCCAAACAUGUUAAUCUAUGUGUCGAUGUCUGGUAAAUGUGUAUGUUUUGAAAGUGAAGGAAAUGUUGUGUGUCAAUUUGAAUAUAUACACGUGCAUUAGUAUUAGGAUAAUGAUCAUGCUUGGGCUGGUGUGCUAACUGAACACUAAUGUGGGCUUAGCUGGGAGGGAUGGCUAAUGAUCUGAAAAUUACUGUGUCCAUAUCAGUCAAACCUUUUUCAUGACUCCCUCCAUUACUCUUGGCAUUAAUCUGGUGCACAGAUCCACCCUCUAUCUCUUUGCACCAAGGCUUCCCUGCUCUGCCAUGCUGGUAGUCCUGCCUACACAAUGAGACACACACAACACCAGCCUGUCUCUAUGUACAGCCAGAGGUCCUGAGGUCACAAACUUUCACAACCUUUGUCUACUUGAACACCACCUGGGACAAGGGCUGUCAUUGGCUGACACUGGCAGUUUGCCUCGACACAUGGAAGUGGUACACGUCUGUCUGGCAGGAAAAGAGGCUUCUAUGAUUUACAGCCUAUCUUAGACUGCACAAUACAAAGCUAAGACUUGACAUCGACACAGAUGCUUUCAGAUAUUCAAAGCCUGGGGAAUACAUGUAUUACCCUUGCAUUAAACUGAAUCCAUAGCUCUCAUUGAAUAGUAAUCAAUGUCUUUCCCAGUGGAGAAAAUUGUAUGAUUAGCAUUACUGAUGAAAAACUGUUGUGAACAUUUCUUUUUUGUUUUGUGUCCUGUGCCUUUAAAUGUCUUGGAUUCAAAUAUUCUUGGCACAGUCAGCGUCUGAAAAAUGACCGAACUGCAACAAAUGUCUCUUUGUUCUCUCGCUAAUCCUUCUGGAGUCUGAAGUCUGUGUGUUUUAAAACGUUUUUUUAUUUUUGGUCAUGUUCUAUGUUUGUUCUACGUGUUCUAUUACACUGUAUGUUCCACUAAAUGCAGACAGAACCCUCGGCAGAGAGGUGCUGUAAUUAAAAGUGCUUGAUCGUG